rnacentral:rRNA from 1 species
UGGGGAAUAUUGCACAAUGGGGGAAACCCUGAUGCAGCGACGCCGCGUGAAGGAAGAAGUGUUUCGGUAUGUAAACUUCUAUCAGCAGGGAAGAUAAUGACGGUACCUGA